rnacentral:sRNA from 1 species
UGCUUAUUAAUAUGCUUAGGUCAAUUGAUUUUUCAAAAGACAGAACUGUUUUUUUUUUAAGAUUUGCAAGAAGUGUUUGUUAAAAAUAGUAAAAAAUUUAUGUUUUAAAAAGAUAAAACACAAUCGUUUAACUUAAACAUGUUAAUUGUUAAGAGUAUAAAAAACAAUCAAUCGCUAACGGUUAAUUAAGACAAAUAUAUCACAAAAGUUCCAAUAAUAUCAAAAAGAAAUUCCAACUUAUCAGUUUUAUUUAUUUAGCAAUCAUUUUCAAAUAUAUAACGUAGAAUUACUAUAAUUUUAUUUUAUCGUUUAUAACUCGCACAUGCACAGUACCGAAUUUAAAUCUAGAUUACCGUACUAUAUCACUAGUACAAAUCAUUGUAUUAUAUAACCUCAAUCACAUAUACCCAGUCAUUUAUCAAUCAUUCAAUCCCAAAACAAU